GACGAACGCUGGCGGCGUGCUUAACACAUGCAAGUCGAACGGAAAGGCCUCUUUCGGGGGGUGCUCGAGUGGCGAACGGGUGAGUAACACGUGAGUAACCUGCCCUUGACUUUGGGAUAACUUCAGGAAACUGGGGCUAAUACCGGAUAGGAGCUCCUGCUGCAUGGUGGGGGUUGGAAAGUUUCGGCGGUUGGGGAUGGACUCGCGGCUUAUCAGCUUGUUGGUGGGGUAGUGGCUUACCAAGGCUUUGACGGGUAGCCGGCCUGAGAGGGUGACCGGCCACAUUGGGACUGAGAUACGGCCCAGACUCCUACGGGAGGCAGCAGUGGGGAAUAUUGCACAAUGGGCGGAAGCCUGAUGCAGCAACGCCGCGUGCGGGAUGACGGCCUUCGGGUUGUAAACCGCUUUCGCCUGUGACGAAGCGUGAGUGACGGUAAUGGGUAAAGAAGCACCGGCUAACUACGUG
rnacentral:rRNA from 1 species